rnacentral:lncRNA from 1 species
UGUUCUUGGGUUUUCGUUUGUGCCCUCAUAGUCAUCCAGAGGCUUUCAUCUCAUCCAAGCUGUUAUUCUCUAUUCCAGGCUUGCAGCUAGAAUCAAGGCCGGGAAUUCUGAAGGACUGGGGAUGGUGUGAGUUCAUGAUCUCUCCCCAUAGACAGGUGUUGUCCUCAUCUGGGCAUCCUGGGUGCAGGAUUUGUGGAGUGCUUCCCUGCAGCACAAGGAUUAUCUGGCCAGAAGUGUCCAUCCAUUUUCAGCACUGAAAAAGAUUGGCGGAAGAAGGCAGGGUCUGGUCACUCUGAUUCCAUCUUCACCAAAAGUUCCCAGGACUUCUUCAAACAUCAGUUCAACAGUGUCUAGGUCUUCAGCUCCCUGCCUUCAAUCCUGCCACUGGGACCUGUUUGAUUUCUCCCUAUGUGAAGAGGAGCCCCAUCUGGCCUUAUUUUGUGGUACUGUAUCUACUACUGUUGCAUUAUCUUAUGCCUCUUCCCUACCCUCUAUC